GAUGAACGCUACGCGGGAGGCCUAACACAUGCAAGCCGAGCGGUAGAGAGUCUUUCGGGAUCGUUGAGAGCGGCGUACGGGUGCGGAACACGUGUGCAACCUGCCUUUAUCAGGGGGAUAGCCUUUCGAAAGGAAGAUUAAUACCCCAUAAUAUAAGAAACGGCAUCGUUUUUUAUUGAAAACUCCGGUGGAUAGAGAUGGGCACGCGCAAGAUUAGAUAGUUGGUGAGGUAACGGCUCACCAAGUCUACGAUCUUUAGGGGGCCUGAGAGGUUGAUCCCCCACACUGGUACUGAGACACGGACCAG
rnacentral:rRNA from 1 species